UAGACUUUUAAGGUUCUAAUAAUGAAAGAGAGAAAAAAAAUGGUGAAGCAAAUUACUUUGUCCAUCUCCUAUAUUGUGUUUUCUUUGUAAUCAUCCCUGUAUUGGGAAAAGAUAAACAAAAUGCCACAGGUAAGUCCAAAUAAACGUCUUAACAAAUAUUUUAGUAGCUGAUUUGAAAAUUAACCGUGGUACCCAACAAUUUGAUUUGAAGGUUUAGUUACACUAGAUUAUUUAGUAUCAGUGUACAUAAAAGUUGGGACAACAUUUGACUAAGAUAUCAAGUGGGCUAAUUUAGCUUCUUCAAAAAAAAAAAAAACAUUUGACUACAAUACAUCCAUGAUUUAACUAGUGACUAAUUGGAUUUAGCUCCUCUUAACUGAGUCCACUUUAGAGGAUAAAAAAUGAACUUAUGACAGUUGGUUGGAAAAAAUAGUGUAUUGAACUAUGAAGUUGUUAACAUCUACCUUGUACUCCUGACUUUAGAGGAGUCAACUCCAGUCUACUUAAACAAAUUUGGUGGGUCUAACACCAUUUUAGAUUAAAUUGUAGGGAUUUUUAUUAUAAAUACAAGUACAUUUUUCUUCAUUUUUUUAUGGAAGAAAAGGUAAGUUGCUCAAAAGAAUUUAUACUUUUGCUAGAUGGAGGAAUAUUGUGUUGAUUAAAGAGAAGGCACAUAAGAUUCUUUAAAUUAUUUUCCAUUCUUGUAUGCUUCGCUGUUUUAUUUUUAGUGUGAACGUUGAUGUACUGGUAGUAGGUAUGCUAGAAAUAGUUUUUUUUUCCACUUUGUUGCAUUUCUUAGCAAGCCUUUGAAGACUUUUAAGUUAUUUUAAUGUCAGAAUUUUAUGGCAAAUCAAGGAGGAC
rnacentral:lncRNA from 1 species